GGAGGGGUUGCAAAUCAUUACACCCAUUGAACAUGCCAGGAGCCCAGACCAGUGGAUUCCUGUGAUCUCUCAAAUGGUCUGCAUAUAUGACAUUUUAUAAAGGGUUUUAGGUACACUUGAACUCCCAACAGUGCUGAUACAGUUCUAGGCCAUUUAGGAGGUGGUUUAAUACAAGGAAAGAAACACUGCAUUGUUUGCAUGCUGUUACUAGCUAAAUGGUUAACAAGGGAAAACCAAUUGACCAUAGUUGUGGAGUGGAUUUAAUAUUAACCUGUUGGCUAUUGUGGGUAAGUUGACUUAUGAAAGUCACAAUUCCAUAGGCUUAGAAAAGCAGAAGCAGUAGUUGGUGUAGCAAGAGAUUUUUCCAUCCCCCUUUUCUUGCUGCAGAUGUUUUUCACAGUUUCUAUGUUAUUUAUAUGUCAAGAUUAUUUUUCUAGCUUGCAUUCCAUGUUUUGAUAGUCAGUGUGUGGUUGUAAAGUGGGUACUGGAAACGUGCAUAUUGAUGGGGUUUUCUUUUCUCCCAGGAAAUUACUUGUUUGUGUCCAGGACAAGCUGAUCAGUCUGUUCCUUGUCUAAUGGGGAGUGCUUUUACCUGUGCUGAGUGAACCAUUUUUGGCUGAUUAGCUAUUCAGCACAUUUCACUACUUGAUGCUCACAAAUUCAACUUUUGAGAGGAAAGUAAUGAUACCAAGAACUAAAUUUUUGUGAAGCAUACUCUUUAGUAUGUUAGUUGAUGUAGCCUGACUGUUGAAUAUAUACUUAGCUGUGAAUUGUGUACCUCCCACUGAGACUGGUGUGCACAAUUAUAAGAAAUAUGUAGACCUCUUGUAAAUGGAGAUUUCACUGCUUUUCUUUGCCUUGCAUCUGGAAAAUAGUGUUAUUUUGAUUUUUUUUCAAUUGGCUUGGUGAGAAUGUUUCCCACCUUCUUUUUCUGUCAAAUGCACAAGUCUGUUUCCGUGCUUAGGUUACUGUCAAAGAAGAUGAGAAAAGUGAAUUGGCUUUGGUUAUCAGUAAAUGCUUUGGAUGUUCUCUUCCUCCCAAGCCAUGUAUGACAUUUUCAGAGGGAUACUGCCAACUUCUUUUGUUCUGAAUUCAGCAAAAUACUCAAAUUUCAACCAGUUUAAUGAAAAAAAUGUGAGUUUUCCAGAGUGGAAAUGCAGGCACUUGGUUUGAGGGCUGCUUUGCAGGAAUCAUCUUAUGUGCUGUUCUGGUAGAUGUUGGAGAUGUGAUGCAUUUUAUCACUAAAGCCAACAGAAUGGCCAGCCUUGGAACCUGGAACAGCAGGAUGCAUAGGGGUGUAUGUGUCUUUGACUGAAAUAUCUGGGUUGUGAGCCGAAGGCAUGAUAGCAACCAUAAUCAAAAUGAACACUUGCUAGAUAAGUAAGUUCGUAGAAUCAUAGAGUCAUUGGAGCUGGAAGAGGCUUUUAAAGGGUGUCUAGUCCAACUCCUCUGCAGUGAACAUGGAUAAGUACUGAUUGUAGUAACUUUACUCAAAAUCCAUGGAUGCACACACAACUUGUGAAUACCACCAAAUCAUCAGCAGCUUGAAUUUCUGUUUGUGAGCAUCCCCAGAAAGAGGACUUAACACUUAAAAGUUAGUUUGAUGUCAGACUAAAACUACCUCCUUUUGGUCCUUGUGCAAAUUACGUGACUGUGCUAGUGAUGCAAAUAGUUUGAUUCUCUCUGGUCUCCCCCAGUAACUUGCCAGCUUUACCCAAGCCCGGAAUAAAUGGCCUGCAUUAAAUCAUUUUGAAAUUGCUUAUAGCAUAUGAUUGUCCUAGAUUUCUGGAAUACCAAGCAGAGCACUACAAGGUUAUAAACAUGAGUGAAUUUCUUUGCAUGAAUAGUUCAUUGAUGACAUCACGUAUUUCACCAAGCAACAUGAAAUCAAAACUAAAUCUGGAUCAACAGAAAGUGAUUAUUUGGAUAUUACGGAUGAACUGUUGCUAUUCAAAAGGGGAGAAAUCUGUGAGUCUGAAGGGCAUUUGCAUAGUGGAUGCUUUCAGCAUAACCUACAACGUUUUCUUAAUGGUGUCUUCAGGAAGUUGAGAGAUUGAGGCUAAUUAAUACUUGAACAUCUAAGUUUAAAGUUAAGUCAUGUAUUUACUGCUAGCAAAGUUUGCCUGUAGAAGGCUUGCUUCAGUAACCUGUUCAGGCAGCUAUUUCGCUGCCUCCUCUACGGGGAAACCAUAUUCAAGUAUGCCUCUGUUUCUGCAGCAUUUUGGUUAGCUUUCAUUCUUCUUUCAUAUGAAUCACACAAAGCUCUUUUAGCUCUUUGUAAUUUGAAAAGGGAAUGAUUCUGAAAUAUUUUCCAAUGAAUAGAAUACUGAAUCUUAAGUAUAGAUGUACUUAAAAGAAAAACGGUGUUUUCUGUUGUUGGAAAUUCAUCUUUAAACACAUUCUUUCCCAUUUUUGCUAACCACUUAAAGUGUUUCUGGACAAGUUCUGUAGGGUUUUCAGUUGAGACCCCAGGUAUAUUACUAUCAAAAUAUUCUAGUUUACUGAAAGCUUCAGCAGUUUUACAUUUGUUUCUACUUGCUGUUGGUUGCCAGGUUAUUGCUGUAAGCAUAGUGUUUCUUUAUCAACGUAGGUAUGAUACUUAAAUGUGGGUGGUUUUCAUUUCUUGUCUUUUAAUGUUAGGGUGUUUUAGAUUCUUUUCCAUUUGACAGAAUGAUUUAAGGUUAUACGCAGCCUUUGCAAACCUUUGUUGCCUGAAGGAAAUUCAUUCUGUAGAGGAUUUAUUAACAAGAUGUUAUCAGACUGGACACCUUGUACUUUAUGAGAACAAUUUGUCCUCUUAACCUCCAGGGGUAUGAUACAGAGAAAUAUUUAUGUUCUGGAGAGACCGCCUUGGAAAACACGAAGAACAGGUGGGAAGGAGGCAAAAAGGGAGCCCAUCUGACUUGCUUGUUAAAUAUCUCAGGGAAAUGAGCUGUUUACCAAUAAGAAAGGGUCGUUACCGAUGAAAGGAGAUGGAAAAUGUAUUUCCACGUAAUGUAACAAAUGCUGAGGCAUAAUUUUUUCCCCAAACGUUUCUUCUAGAUUUGCAAAACCACCAGUGUCACACAGUCCAAGUAUCCAAGAUGCAAGAAGACUUAAAUUCCUCUUCCCCUUUUCUUUUAUUCCAAGUUUUUUAAAGAGAAUGUAAGACUAAACACCUCCCUUUUUAUUUGCUACUCAUGACUUGAGACAUCGGCCAUCUAAAUUCUUUUGGUUCUCACCUUCCUCAUGUAUAAAACACAAGAAGAAACUUUCUGCUUUUACCUGGGUAGUGGGAAGACCAAUAAACAUCUCUCAGGUCUGUAAGGAGAACUGACGCUUCCUCUCUUCAGAUAUUUGCCAAUAUUUCUCAAAGCAUGGUCCUAGACUAUUCACUCGAAUAAUGAAUGAGCUAAGAAAUUACUGCAGUAUUUUUUUUUUUUUAAGAUAGUUGUAUUUUUGGAGUGGGAAGCUACUAUGUAGUAUCCAAACUGUUGCAAUUUCUACUGCACAUGUACCUAUAUUUAAUUUUAGAGUGGAAUUGCUUUAUGCCUUUCUGAUGAGCUUCAACGUUGACAAGGAUUUAAGCUGUUUGUGGCAAUAUACUGGGUGCUGGAAGGUGUCACAGCAGCUAUUUUGAAAUGAAACAAAGUGAAAGAACUUCUUCACACUGAGGGUGAUGGAGCACUGGAAUGGGCUGCACGGGGAGGUUGUGGAGUCUCCUCCUAUGGAGGCAUUCAAGACCUGCCCAGAUGCCUACCUGUGCAGCCUGGUCUAGGGAGCCUGCUUUGGCGUGGGGUUGGACUCGAUGAUCUCUGGAAGUCCCUUCCAGCCCCUACAAUGCUGUGAAACAAUAGCAAGCAAUUUUAGUUAGUAUGCUGCUUCAUGAUCUGAUUAGAAUUUCUAUGCUCCUAGUUAAUAUUCAUGGGAAGCAAAGUUUCUGUUUAGUGGUAUCUUGUGUUUACUUGCUCAAGGCAAAUAUAAAGAAAUGCCAUGAGAUAUCCCGCUCAGUGUUUGGAAUUGUCAGGAAUGGGAGUCAUUAACAUUUCAUGAUUGUUUGCGCUGCUCUUGCGUUCAGUUCUCUGAUGAAAUAUGAGUUAACAGCAAAUUUCUUACAGAUGCUGAUCACUGAUUCGAUGUAAAUGCAAAUAGUCCUUUGUCUGAGCUGUGAUCUUUUCAAAAUUCACAGAAGAAUCCGUAAUUGUUUCCAAAGAGAUACUGGGAUAUUGUGCUAUUCCGUUUCCUAGUUUUUUCAGCCAUACCAGACCUAAAAGUGAAAGAAGAAUCCCAAGGGGAACUCCUUUGGCAGCUGGAGAUGGGUCAGCAUGUCCAGCACAGGCAGCCUUGUCCUAUCUCUUCCUUUCUUAGCCUUAGAUCUUACAGAGGUGGUGACAUCUGAGGUGCUGAUCACAGCAAGAAAUCUGUGUUUCUGUGAAUGUAACCAUUUUGCAUUUAAAAGGGAAAAAUUGAGGCUUAGAGAAGGGUUAGAUCUGAAUCGGAUAUCUAUUCUAACAGUGUGAAAUCACUGUUUUCUGAUUGCCCUACCAUAAGCUCCUUUAUAACUCUUUUCAUUAGUUUGUUUUCUCCAUCUCUUUGUCUUGGUGAAGCAUGUGUGCUAAUGGUGCUAUUGAAAUGGUAUCAGGCUGCUUUCUGCUGUUGGAUUUGUAUCGCCUUGAGGAAAUUUAAAGGCAAGUUUAAAACAAAGCUUCAAAGAAAGCAAAACAUUAUUGAGAAAAACAAUUUCUGAAGUUCAGUGAAGUUAAGGUGUGUACAACUUGAUGUGUAUAAACUAAAUACGAAGCAGAGAGGAGUGGGUUUUCUGGAUGUUAAUAAGGAACUGAUAUUCGGGGAAAACUGGACUAUAAUUUGAAAAUCAGCAAACUUUAAAGCAUCAAUUUAGAGAUCUACCUUUGACUGAGACCACUCAAGAAACAGCACGUUUUAUUUAAUCAAUAGUAUAAAAGGAGGGGAGUGACUUUGAUAAUUUGCUGUGGUUUUGCUUUUUAUUUUUUAUUUUUUUAACUCCAGGGCAUGAGAUGAAAGCCACUAAAUGUCUAAGUAUUCUUGUUUGUUUUCUUCAUAGUGCAGGGUGUAGCAUUAUUGAAGACUGUUGUUUAUUAUGUAAUUCUUUACGGUGCUGAAGGUGAGCUUGGCUCCACACUCAUGUGGGUCUCUGAAGGCUUCCUGUCAUGUCAGCAGCCUUUGUCUGCUCCUUGUAUCACCAGUAUUGCCCCCGUAACUCGCAAAGUGUCUCUAGGACUAAAGGUACAUCCCAAGGACUCUAUUAAGUGGCUUCCCAAGUCUCCUAAGCUGUACAGUGGCCAUAACUGGAGCUCCCAGAGCUCUCGCUGGACCUCGUUAAAAGGAAAGGAAGGUUUUCAUGGUGGUAACUUGUACAAACUCAGCUCUGCCAAUGGGAAAUGGAGGGAAGGAAGAAUCAGCCCUGAGCAAGAAGCGGAGGAACUGGAGGAUCCUGAUGAAGACGAACCUAUUUCCAAGUUUUCUGGCAGCCUCUUUGAUAAUGAUGUUCAUUUAAGAGAUAAAAGAAAUUCCAGAGCAGCUCUUCAAGACAGGCACAAGUCAGCAACGAAGGGGAAAACUGCUCCAGGGACUAACAGCAAGGCGCAGGCCCCUGUCUCAGCAGGCAGCUUGCCUGGAGACAGCAGCAGGUUUCUGGAGGAAUCCAGAGCUGCAGAUGGGGCGCAACCUCCACUUAAGAUAACCAUUACUGUGUGCAGUCAAAUGGGGAGUCUUGGUAUUAGCAUUGCUGGUGGAAAGGGCUCAUCUCCAUAUAAAGACAAUGAUGAGGGAAUUUUGAUUACACGACUACCAAAAGACUGUCCAGCAGAUGUGGCUGGGAUGCAAGCAGGAGAAAGAGCGGCAGAGGGAUCCCUAAUUUCAGAACCCAACACACGUGAUGCUGCUCCUACUGAAGCUUCAUCUAAAGGCAGCCCCUUCCAGACAUUAAACCAUGUCAUAACAGAUUCUCUCUAGCUGAUGGAAAGAGCAUCAUCCCCAUGGCUCCUCUUUUAGAAAGGAGAGGUUGAGCUGCUACCUACAGAUACCUCGAAUAAUCCUCACACGCCCUUCGACCUCUGAUGAAGAUACUGACCAGCUGCCCCCAGAUCCAGAUGACUUUGAGAUGGAGGAGCCUGAUGGCACAGAACGCCGCACCUACUCGGACUGUCUGAACAGCGCUUUUUAUCCUCCCUAAUAAAGUACUUUUUUGGAAA